rnacentral:rRNA from 1 species
UACGAAGGGGGCUAGCGUUGCUCGGAAUCACUGGGCGUAAAGGGUGCGUAGGCGGGUCUUUAAGUCCGGGGUGAAAUCCUGGAGCUCAACUCCAGAACUGCCUUUGAUACUGAAGAUCUUGAGUCCGGGAGAGGUGAGUGGAACUGCAAGUGUAGAGGUGAAAUUCGUAGAUAUUCGCAAGAACACCAGUGGCGAAGGCGGCUCACUGGCCCGGUACUGACGCUGAGGCACGAAAGCGUGGGGAGCAAACGGG